AUGCGCGUGUGAGGCAUGGGCGCGAAGGUGGAAAUGACAUGAAUAUACCAGUAAUGCGGUGAAUGAAACAUCUGUCUGUCCUUUGCCAUCACACCCUAGUCUACCAGAUCCCUGGCGUCGGCGCUGCAAAGGCAUAACAUUCCGGGUCUGAUCCAUGUCCGGCGCCCACGUCCUCCUCCUCCUCUCCUCUCAGGGCGUCCUCUUCCCACAGGAAAUGGGGGCUCCUCUUCCCCGGCGUGCUGGAGUGCGAGGAGGUGUUCACGCGCCUCGUGGGGCAUCUCGCCCGCCAGGGAGUGCAGGCGUCGGGGUGGGGCCUCAUCGCCUCCCCCCGGCUCGACGAAGAAAGGGAGAGGCGACUGAGGAACUUCGUCUCGAGGGAGCUCGGCUGCGAGUUCAGGACGUGGGAUGAAGAAGACAUCUGGAGAUCUUACUACUAGGGGAAGGGGUGGAGGCUGGCGAUUGAUAGAUAGAUAGACAUGUAUACCUGAUAAGUGUACAUGUGUGUCUGUGCGUUGCUUACGCUUUGAUCAAAUAAAGUUAUUUUUCUGCG